rnacentral:rRNA from 1 species
GGGCCCGCACAAGCAGUGGAGUAUGUGGUUUAAUUCGAAGCAACGCGAAGAACCUUACCAGGACUUGACAUAAAGAGGGAUAUGUUAGAGAUAACAUAGCUCUUCGGAGCUUCUUUACAGGUGGUGCAUGGUUGUCGUCAGCUCGUGUCGUGAGAUGUUGGGUUAAGUCCCGCAACGAGCGCAACCCCUGUUGCCAGUUGCCAGCAGUAAGAUGGGCACUCUGGCGAGACUGCCGGUGAUAAAUCGGAGGAAGGUGGGGACGACGUCAAAUCAUCAUGCCCCUUAUGUCCUGGGCUACACACGUACUACAAUGGCUAAAACAGAGGGAAGCGAGGCCGCAAGGCGGAGCAAAUCCCAAAAAAUAGCCUCAGUUCAGAUUGUGGGCUGCAACUCGCCCACAUGAAGACGGAAUUGCUAGUAAUGGCAGGUCAGCAUACUGCCGUGAAUACGUUCCCGGGCCUU